rnacentral:lncRNA from 8 species
GGCGGCUCCAGUGCGGGUCGCCGCCCCCGCCCAGAUCCUGGAUCCGGCCAUGGCGCCGGGCUGAACGCCGUGCCUGGACUGGGCAUCGGCGCAGAGGAAGGUUCCGGCCUUGGAGCGGUACUGGGUGCCGUGCCUGGACUGGGCACCGGCGCAGAGGAGUGCUCCGGCCAUGGAGCUGUGUUGGACACCGUGCCUGGACUGGGCACCGGCGCAGAGGAAGGCUCCGGCCAUGGAGCUGGGUUGGCCGCCGUACCUGGACUGGGCACCGGCGCAGAGGAAGGCUCCGGCCUUGGAGCGGGACUGGACGCCAUGCCUGGACUGGGGACCGGCGCAGAGGAAGGCUCCUGCCAUGGAGCGGGACUGGACACCGUGCCUGGACUGGGCACCGGCGCAGAGGAAGACUCUGGCCUUGGAGCUGGACUGGACGCUGUGCCUGGACCGGGCACCGGCGCAAAGGAAGGCUCCGGCCAUGGCACCGGCGCAGGAAGCUCCGGGCCGUGGACCGUCACUGGAAGCUCCAGACCGUUGAUCGUCACUGGAAGUUCCGGGCCGUUGACCGUCACUGGAAGCUCCGGGCCGUUGAUCGUCACUGGAAGUUCCGGGCCGUUGACCGUCACUGGAAGCUCCGGGCCGUUGACCGUCACUGGAAGCUCCGGGCCGUUGACCGUCACUGGAAGCUCCGGGCCGGAGAUGCGCACUGGAGGCCUAGUGCGUGGAGCCGGUACAGGUGGCACCAGACUGUUGACACACUCUUCAGGGCGAGUGUGAGGAGCUGGCACAGGAGUACCGGACUGGGGAGGCACACUGGAGGCCUGGUGCGUGAAGCCGGCACAGGUGGCACCAGACUGGUGACACGCACUUCAGGGAGGGUGUGGGGAGCUGGCACAGGACUCACCAGACUGUUGACAGGAUCUUCAGGUUGAAUGUUAUGCAGAACACACCUGCACAACAUCUCUCUCAUCUCUCUCUCUCCCAACUUCUCCAUCACCUCCCUGACGGUCUCUGGCCCUUCAGGACGAGUGCGGAGAGCUGGCACAGAUGGCACCGGACUGAUGACCCGCUCUUCAGGGCGUGUGCGAGGAACCGGCACAGGACAUACCGGGCUGGGGAGGCGCACUGGUGGCCUGGUGCGUGGAGC